rnacentral:rRNA from 1 species
GUCCACGCCCUAAACGAUGGGUACUAAGUGUCGGCGGGUUACCGCCGGUGCCGCACCUAACGGAGUAAGUACCCCGCCUGGGGAGUACGGCCGCAAGGUUGAAACUCAAAGGAAUUGACGGGGGCCGCACAAGCGGUGGUGCAUGUGGUUUAAUUCGACGCAACGCGAAAACCUUAACCCAGGCUUGACAUGCUAGUGGUAAGAACCGGAAACGGGGAUGACCCUGAAAGGGGAGCUAGCACAGGUGCUGCAUGGCUGUCGU